AAGCCCCUGGGCCCAGCAUGGCCUCCUGCCCCUCUCUGCAUUCACCGUUGCAGGGUUUGUAUAGCGUUCCUCACCCUAUAUUUUGGCUUCCACUGUCGUUUGUCUUACUAUUGGCUAAACAUAGAGGGAUGGUUUUAACCGUGAGUGACACAUAUUAUUAAUGUAUUUGCUAUCUCUGGGGCACAGGCACGUGCCCAGUUUUUCCGCUGACUUAUGUUCCUAAUAAACCUGAGUCAAAGCGCA